rnacentral:rRNA from 1 species
UACUUCAAUAAACUCAUUUCACCUCUUUCAUCCGAGAUUACCCGCUGAACUUAAGCAUAUCAAUAAGCGGAGGA